AGAACGAACGCUGGCGGCACGCCUAACACAUGCAAGUCGAGCGCCCAGCAAUGGGAGCGGCGGACGGGUGAGUAACACGUGGGAAUAUGCCUUUCGGUACGGAACAACUCAGGGAAACUUGAGCUAAUGCCGUAUACGCCCUUACGGGGAAAGAUUUAUCGCCGAAAGAUUAGCCCGCGUCUGAUUAGCUAGUUGGUGAGGUAAUGGCUCACCAAGGCUUCGAUCAGUAGCUGGUUUGAGAGAACGACCAGCCACACUGGGACUGAGACACGGCCCAGACUCCUACGGGAGGCAGCAGUGGGGAAUCUUGGACAAUGGGGGAAACCCUGAUCCAGCGAUGCCGCGUGAGUGAUGAAGGCCUUCGGGCUGUAAAACUCUUUCGACGGGGACGAUAAUGACGGUACCCGUAGAAGAAGCUCCGGCUAACUUCGUGCCAGCAGCCGC
rnacentral:rRNA from 1 species